rnacentral:rRNA from 1 species
AUUGAACGCUGGCGGCAGGCCUAACACAUGCAAGUCGAACGAGUGGCGGACGGGUGAGUAAUGUCUGGGAAACUGCCUGAUGGAGGGGGAUAACUACUGGAAACGGUAGCUAAUACCGCAUACCAUCAGAUGUGCCCAGGUGGGAUGAGCUUGUUGGUGGGGUAACGGCUCACCAAGGCGACGAUCCCUAGCUGGUCUGAGAGGAUGACCAGUCACACUGGAACGGAGACACGGUCCAGACUCCUACGGGAGGCAGCAGUGGGGAAUAUUGGACAAUGGGCGCAAGCCUGAUCCAGCCAUGCCGCGUGUGUGAAGAAGGCCUUCGGGUUGUAAAGCACUUUAAGCUGGGAGGCGUUACCCACAGAAGAAGCACCGGCUAACUCCGUGCCAGCAGCCGCGGUAAUAC